rnacentral:pre_miRNA from 15 species
GUUCUGAAUGUAGAGCUUUUCUGAAUUUCAAAGAGGAUCUGAGAGGGAAAAUCGAGCUGCUAAUCUAUGGAUCCCUCAAACCUAUCUAUUCUCAAAAUAAUUUUAGAUAGGUUUGUGGUUUGCAUAUAUCAGGAGCUUCAUUUACUCUUCUAGGAUCCUUAUUGGAAUGAAGGGAGCUCUACGUUUGAUAACC